CCCGUCUGUGUUCCCGUGGGUCCUGGAAAAAGUCACUUUACCUCCAAAUACAUUUUACUUUUCUCUAAAGUGGAGGUAGCACCACCUGCCCUGCCUCCUGCAGCAGUUGCUGGGAUGGUUAAGUGGGAGGCACAUGUGAAAGAGGAAAGGAAGCGUCACAGAAGGCAGCAUGAGCUCUGUGUCUGCUGCCCUACAGCGCCCAUGCUGUGUCAGAGCAAAGCUUUCAGAAGUGUGUGAGCCAGAGACCAGUGGGGUCAGUUCCUCUCUUUCCUCUGGGGAACUGUGUGCAUCACCAGAAGGGAAUCUCAGCUAAGGGUCCCCGGGGCAUCACUUGUGGUUGUAGAAGUGCAAAGCUGGGGCACCGGAGUCCACUGGCAGGUUAAACCUGGGUCACCGUGACCCGGGACUUCAGGCUGCAAGUCCCAGGUGUGGAGCUCAGUGAGUGGAGGUCUGCCUUUACUCCAUGUACUCUUUGUUCUCAGAGAGUAUGGCCAGCUUCGCCCAAGGCAGCCUGGCAUUGUCUAGUCUCCUCCUCAGCUGGCCUUGGCUCUGCACGCUGGCUUCCCAAGACUCUUCCCUUAAAGCAAUAUUGUAAAUUCUGCUGAGGGCUCCGAGAAGAGGAGGCAAACAAAUGGAUAGGGUCUGGUUAUGGCUAAUGGACAUGCCAUUCAGCAUAGCCAUGCUUCAGUAGGGUGUGCUACCACCAGAGGGUAACAGCUGCUCCGACUCCUGCCUCGAGAAGGUCCCCAAAGUCCCUAGAAACACAGGUCUGUUGGGGCUCAUAUUCGAUUUUUCAGGCCCCCUAUCAGGCACUACCUGGAUAGAAUUUCUUGGUAUCCAGCAGGUGGCACUGCUACCCAGGCCAGUGGCAGCAUGUUGGUCCUUUGUGCAGACUUAGCAGUUACCAGCACCGAGGACACACUGGACCCCUUCCUGCAGCUGUCCUCUUGGGGCGCUGUGCCUUCUGGCUCCAGUAGGCCAUAGGUUAGGGGAGGGGUAACUUCCCUGGCCUGGACAUGCACCCUGGGGCUGUACGAGGUGAAGGUGACAGGUGGGGGAGGCAGGUGGAGAAUUGAGCCUGUGAGCUCAUGACAAAGGCACCCAGUGGGCGGGGUGGGUGCUCUGGCCUAUAAAGACCCUAUGUCCUGUGGCUUGCUAAGGCAGACAUGGAGGGCGCCAUGGAGGGUCCUGAGGCUGUGCAGAGGGCCACAGAGCUCAUCGAGCAGCGGCUUGCCCAGGAGGAAGAAACUGAGAAACUUCGAAGAGUCACCCCUGGGAAGUUGUCCAUGGACAUGCUGGUUCUAGAGGAUGAAAAGCGCCUUGGGAUGCAGAGCCCUGCUUUACAAAAGGUUAAGGGCCAAGAGCGUGUACGCAAGACAUCCCUGGACCUGCGGCGUGAGAUCAUUGACGUGGGUGGGAUCCAGAACCUCAUAGAACUGAGGAAAAAACGCAAGCAGAAGAAGCGAGAUGCACUGGCUGCCGCCCAGGAGCCACCUCCAGAGCCAGAGGAGAUCACCGGCCCUGUGGAUGAGGAGAUGUUCCUGAAGGCUGCAGUAGAAGGGAAAGUGAAAGUCAUUGACAAAUACCUGGCCGAUGGAGGUUCAGCAGACACCUGCGAUGAGUUCCGUCGGACAGCGCUACAUCGAGCCUCCCUGGAGGGUCACAUGGAGAUACUGGAGAAACUUCUGGAGAAUGGGGCCACUGUGGACUUCCAAGAUCGGCUGGACUGCACAGCCAUGCACUGGGCCUGCCGUGGAGGCCACCUGGAGGUGGUGAGGCUCCUGCAAAGCCGAGGAGCCAACACCAAUGUGAGAGACAAGCUCCUGAGCACUCCCCUGCAUGUAGCUGUUCGUACUGGACACGUGGAGAUUGUGGAACACUUUCUUUCCCUGGGCUUGGAUAUCAAUGCCAAAGACAGGGGUCAUGCCAUGUGUGACCCCGACUCUAGGAAGGGGACAGUGCCCUACACGAUGCCGUGAGACUCAACCGCUACAAAAUCAUCAAACUGCUGCUCCUGCAUGGGGCUGACAUGAUGGCUAAGAACCUGGCAGGAAAGACCCCUACAGACCUCGUCCAACUAUGGCAAGCAGACACCCGGCAUGCCCUGGAGCAUCCUGAGCCAGAAUCAGAACAGAACGGACUGGAGAGGCCUGGGA